UCGGUAAAUAAUUCUUAUAGCGUAAAAGUUAAUUAUAUUCAUAUAUACUAUAAAGAAAAUAACCAAAGCAUAAAAUUACUUUUACAGCGACACGUGGGCCCACAUCUAACCAAAAUGUAUCGAAAGCUGAAAACCUACAGCUUUUGCCGAUUCAAGUCCAAAUGAAGGUCCUUGUCAAAGUCAGCUAACUAUGGAAUUCCUCGAGUCUAAAAUGUGAUGAAAUGAGGGUGGUGAGAUUAUAAAAUCCCAGUGAGUAAACAUACACCAUCUAAACUAUCUAAAGGCGAGUAAAUGGAAACGAAUUAAAAUAAGUUAUCAUACUGUAAUUCAUUACCAUUCAACUCAUUUCAACCAAAUAAACAAAUAGGCUUAUGAUUUCCUGAAAAGCUUGGCUCGUGCUAAAAAUCAUUCUCAUACUCAGUUAUCAAGGAUACCUUGAUCGAGGGUUAUCCCAACCGAGUUAGCCAAGGCUGUUAAAUGUCUUUACAUCUGAAAUUUUAGCCAUGUCUUGGCGUUGGCUGAGUCUCACUCUCACGCGGUGGUCCACAUGAAGUGCACUCAAAUCUUUACCUCAGGAGAUACUUCAUCCAACAUCUCCUCCCGAAGGUAAAUAUAUAAUUGAGUUACCGUGCCCCUUUCAAUUAAUGUCAAGCAUUGAGGAAAAACACACCUCUCCAACAGUUGUUGUCACGACUCGGAACUCCCAUCGAGCCCGUGACAAUCGCCGCGAAGCCUCGACAAACAUUCUUCACCCCGAAUGUCGAUCGAAACCUCGCUAGGCUCUCAUAUCAGCUUUCGCACUUCCUUGGUGAGCAAUAGUUAUCAAAUAUCGUAAUUCGAAAGAUUAUGAGUCAUUUCCAAAUCAGAACAUAACAUAUUGUUUUCUGGCUCACAGCGGUAUUUUCGUCAUUUUUCAUCGAAAAUCUUAAAACUUACUAAAAAUGUUGUAGGUAAGCAGAAAAUAUAUAUUUAGUGAUUUAAAAACAAAUUAAGUAUAUAAAACAUUCAUUUGAAGUGAAAAUUUGACCAUUUGAAUAUAAUAAAAAUAUUCAAUAAAAUAAACUAUUUUCUUGUAAAAUAAUUUUUAUAAAGCUAUCGGUAAAUAAUUCUUAUAGCGUAAAAGUUAAUUAUAUUCAUAUAUACUAUAAAGAAAAUAACCAAAGCAUAAAAUUAUUUUUACAGCGACACGUGGGCCCACAUCUAACCAAAAUGUAUCGAAAGUUGAAAACCUACAGCUUUUGCCGAUUCAAGUCCAAAUGAAGGUCCUUGUCAAAGUCAGCUAACUAUGGAAUUCCUCGAGUCUAAAAUGUGAGGAAAUGAGGGUGGUGAGAUUAUAAAAUCCCAGUGAGUAAACAGACACCAUCUAAACUAUCUAAAAGCGAGUAAAUAGAGACGAAUUAAAAUAAGUCAUCAUACUGUAAUUUCAUUACCAUUCAACUCAUUUCAACCAAAUAAACAAAUAGGCUUAUGAUUUCCUGAAAAGCUUGGCUCGUGCCAAAAAUCAUUCUCAUACUCAGUUAUCAGGGAUACCUUGAUCGAGGGUUAUCCCAACCGAGUCCGCCAAGGCUAUUAAAUGUCUUUACAUCUAAAAUUUUAGCCAUGCCUUGGCGUUGGCUGAGUCUCACUCUCACCCGGUGGUCCACGUGAAGUGCACUCAAAUCUUUACCUCAGGAGAUACUUCAUCCAACAUCUUCCCCCGGAGGUAAAUAUAUAAUUGAGUUACCGUGCCCCUCUCAUAGGCAGUCCACGAAAACCCCCACCACUACAGUGACUAUGGAUUAUUUUAUCUACCACCUGAUUUAUAAAAUCCUUUUCUGCAUGACAUGGCAAUUUAUCGCAACCUAGCCUCUCAAGGCUGAAUACACAGUACAAAUAAUUCUAACACUAAAAAUCAGUUUAGCCAUUCAUGCUCAUAUAUUGUCAUAAGUCAUUCAAUUUAAAACCAUAAAUUUACAACACAAGCAGGCAGUUUACAAUUACUCUAUUUUCAAAACCAGUAUUCAAUUUUUCAGAAAAUUCAUAAAAUCAUAAUUUCUCCUAAAACAUAGCAAUUUACCAUUUAUACCCAUUUUUCAUAAAAUCACACAAUUGUAUAAAACUACUCUAGAUAAUUAAGACGAUAAUAAGUUUACUCACAGUUCUAGGAGUCGAUGUACUCCUAAUCCUAGUCUCCAAGCACAAUCUCUGUACUUUUACCAAUAUAAUUUACUCACCACCUAUCCACAAUGUACAAUACAUAAUUCACCACAUCAAUGCUUGACCAUUAUAAAAUCAAUUCAGGCUCGGUGUAUAUGCAUGAUAUGAUAUGCAACUUAUUCGACUACCGCUUAAAUGCGGUGCUGACCUAAUUCGGCCUAUUACCCGAUUAAAUGACAAUUGUGUCCGAUUUGGCUCCAAAUUGCUCCAUUUCAUUUCUAAUAUUUCAAUUCACUAAAUACAAUUCCAAUAAUCUAAAAUUCAGCCUAACAACCCUCACAAUUUUUCUUGAAAAUUUAGGCCAUUGUGGUGCACUAUCACUAAAAAUUUUCUCAUUCCAUUUUCUCACCAUAAAUCAUCAUUUCAUCAAUUUUUCAACCAAUUCACUUGAUCACAAAAUCAAUUCAUUACUUCUACACUUCACAUAGGGUUCGGCCAUUGAAGGUUUAUGGGGAAAAUGGAUUCUUUUCUUGUUGUUUUGUUUUUAAAAAUGCUUGACUAACUAAAAACACUAACAUAACUUAGAAUCAAAUCAAUCUAACAUCAUUCUCUCUCCAUACCCAUUCCAACCAGCCAUGAAUUCAUCAUGAAAACAUGUAAUUUAACCAUGAAAAAUGAGGAGAAAUGCAUGGGAAAGGUAGAUCACAAGUCAAAAUCAAGAAAUUUUACCUUUUGUCACUUGUUUCCUUGAAUUUUC
rnacentral:lncRNA from 1 species